rnacentral:misc_RNA from 1 species
CACAACGAACACAAGGAAAACCCAGAGAGAGUGCACGCAGAAGAAGGAAGAAAGAAGAAAAAAUAAGGAAAGGAAGAAGAAGAAGAAGGAGAGGAGGAGGAGGAGGGAGGAAGGCAUACAAACCAGGGAGUGUGAAAGAACUGAGCCAUGGGCGAGUCAAGUGACUCGGUUUCUGUAGAUAUUGACAUGCUUUCUUUUGAAGGGAAGGAAUAUGUGUUGAAAACGAGUAGAGGUUCAGUUUCAGUGUAUGUGUGUGGUGAUCAAGAGAAGCCUGCUUUGAUAACAUACCCAGAUGUUGCUCUCAAUUACAUGUCUUGUUUCCAAGGUCUCUUCUUUUGCCCAGAGGCAGCUUCUUUGUUGCUUCAUAACUUCUGCAUUUACCAUAUUGAUGCCCCCGGGCAUGAGUUGGGAGCAGAUGUCAUUUCUUCAGAUGUUCCAUUACUCAGUGUGGAUGACUUGGCAGACCAGGUUGCUGAAGUGCUUGAUUUCUUUGGGCUGAAAGAGGUCCUGUGCUUAGGCGUGACAGCUGGUGCUUACAUCCUGACGCUUUUUGCAACAAAAUAUAAAGAACGAGUGCUUGGGUUAAUUCUUGUUUCCCCUAUCUGCAAAGCUCCCUCAUGGACUGAAUGGCUUUACAAUAAGGUAUUAUUAAAUUUGUUAUACUUCUAUGGUAUGUGUGGUGUACUGAAGGAGUGCCUUAUCCAGCGUUACUUCAGUAAGGAAAUUAGGUGUGGUGUGCAUGGUGCAGAAUCAGACAUCAUUCAAGGAUGUAGAAGGGUAAGGAAAUCUCUGUUAUGACUUAUGACAGCUUAUUUCCUUUCGUAAAUUUUCACCGGGGUAAGCAGGGAAGGCUGAAACCCACCACUGAAUUGUUCAGAGCAAUCUGUUUGUGGAACUAUUAAUAAUGUCUGGUAGGGGAUGAGAUGUAUUAAUGCCUGUAGUGAACUGAUGUCAGUCACUUUUGACGUGUGGCCACAGUUGCUUGAUGAGAGGCAAAGUUUGAAUGUCAUGCGCUUUCUUCAAGCAAUUAAUAAGUGAGUUAUUUUCACUUCUUAAAAGUUUACAGUAUCUAUAUCUUUUCUCUCUCCUUUAUGUUUCUGCUGUCUCUUCCUCCCAUUGCAAUACCAAGGCUCAAGAGCCUCUUGUAAUUACAUUUCUUUCUCCUGGUUGCACUUGUUUUGGUUAUACGAGAAUGAGUAUGAAUUGCAACCUAGCCACUACUUGCAAAAUCUCCUAAGAUUAUAUCAGAAAGAUUCACCUGAAAGUACUGUUCUCCUUGAAGCAAUUAUGUAGUCACGUUAUAAUUUUUGGAUCUUAUAAAUAAUGCCAUCAUCAACUAACUAUUGAGUUUAUUAAGCAGGAGGCAUGACCUUACAGACGGCUUGAAGGAGUUGCAGUGCAAGACACUUAUUUUUGUAGGUGAAAGUAGUCAGUUUCACGAUGAAUCUGUGUAUAUGAGUGCCAAAAUGGGAAAGAAAAGCUGUGCCCUUGUUGAGGUAGGAUGAUCUUCAUCUGUUGCUUCUCCUUUCGUGCUAUUUUUGCUGUAGUUCAUGCACCAGUUAGUAACCGUUACCGAAUUAAUUGUUGAAGUGGUUCAUGAUAUAUACUUUGAAUAUAUUUGCCCUACAUUAAAUGAGUAGACAUUGACCACUUGGUUUCCCAAUUAUUUUAUUUAUUUAUUUUUACAAGUAUAGAAAUGCUCCUUUUUUGCCUGCAGACACAUGCAUACAACUAUAAUGGCUCGUGUUUUGUGUGCACAUACAUAGCAACAUAGAUACAUUGGCAUUGUGACUGAAGCAUCCGAAUCACACUUUUUGUUGACAGGUUCAGGCAUGUGGCUCACUAGUGACAGAAGAGCACCCCUAUGCCAUGAUAAUCCCUAUGGAAUUCUUUCUAAUGGGAUUUGGCUACCACAGACCUCAUUUUUCUUCCUCAUCAAGUAACGGUUCCAACCCAGCCAGUCCCUUGAGCCAUUCUUGUAUAGCACCAGAACUACUCUCUCCUGAGAGUUUGGGGAUCAAGCUCAAACCUAUCAAAACACGAGUCAACAUUGAAGUUUGAUGAGUUUAAAUGAUUUCUUGGACUCACGAGAUUACAAACUUAGCAAUCCAGGAAAUGCGGCAGGAUUUCAGCUUUGCACAUAUAAUCAUGAUAGUUGUACAAUAUCUAUGAUAGCAUAUUCACAUUCUUUGAUUGUGUUGACGGGGAAGAAUUUUGGAGUGUAGAAAGAAUAGUUAGAUAUUUCAGAGAUUCUUAAAUAACGCUGUUUUUAAUGAAGUAAAACUCUACCAUCAGAUUGUGGCAUUAUUCUUUGGGUAAAAUAAUAUUUAAUCCCUAGAAUUUGUUAAUGUUCAUAACUCAGCCUUCUGAGUGUCAUACUGAACAGGUAUUGUAUUUGUGUGAAAAGAGAGAACGGUGGCAUGGGCUCUCUUGGGAUCGUAUGUCACCUUAAAAAAUGCAACAUAAAUCAAUUCGUUGCAUCAUUAGGAGAGUUUGCAUUGAACAAAGAUACAAGCAGUGCCAAUCAAAAAGGUGGUUUACUAUAAAAAAUACAUAAUCGUGAGUUUAUAUCUGUUUCCUCGUGCACAAACGCAAAAAAUCAUUUUCCUCAUUAAAGAUUUUGGGCAGUCAAUUUUCUUAUUGAUCACAAACAAUAAAAAAGUUGCACGAAGAUGAGCAAGUGCAGCUAUAGAAAGCAUGAGACUGAUCAAAUAUUUGCAUUUAGGUUUGUGUAUUCAUUAUUUACACUUUAAUUUCUUCUGCACAAAUUUUAAUAUGAUUAUAAAACUUAUUCUCAUUCGAAACCGAACUUAUAUUAAAUGCACCUAAGUUGCGCUUCUAAAUCCAAUGAAGUCUACAAGACCAUCUACAGUACAUGCACGUUUGAAAAAGGACUAUUCACUAUCUGGUACCAUGUUAACCAUCCAACCAAUAAAUCCGAAAUUAUAAUGAAGUAUAGAAUUGAAAAUUGCAAACAUGACAUGAAUGGAAACAGUUCAAUAGACUUCGACAUCUAAAAAAACGCUCAUCUAGUUAUAGGUCAUGUAUGUAGACCAUACUAGUUCAGCAUCUCAAUCUGAAUCUGAGUAUUUCUAUUACUGAUUGCUCAAAGCCAUUCCAAAAGGACGAAAAUUGAAAGGAUUAUCAGAACCUAAAAUAAAACUCUCCUUAGGCUGCACCGACGACCUCAGUCUCUCCCUCUGCCAUGGUUUCAUCAGCAGGCCUGUCCAACUUCACACCAAUGUCAUCUGCUGAAUAGUCACCAUGAACCUCCAUCAACUUGCCUAGGUCAAAUUUGGGAGCCUUCAGGAUCUUGACUUUUCGAAUGAAGACAUUCUGCAGGGGAUAUAUGCUGGAUGUUGCCUUCUCAAUCUCUCUGCCAAUCAUCUCAGGGAUGAAUUUUGCCACCAGUUCUUUCAAAUCACAUGAUGCGGCCUGAUUAACCAUGAUUUCCCUCAUCUUCCGGCGAAUCUGACGGAUCUGACUGGACUGAGCAUAACAUGUCCGCUUGACCUGGUUUGCACGUCUCUUAGUGAAAGCAAUGCAAAACAGCCUUAAGGUGUAAUUAUCAGUAGUCUUCACAUCAACAUGGGCUUCAAUCAGUGUCUGCCAUUUCCGCACAAGUGACCUCAGCUUGUCUGUAGUGAAGUCCAUUCCCCAGAAGUUUGUCAGCACAUUCUUCCCUUGCACAUCCUCUGCUCUAAGGCGAAUCUUUCUGUAGGCAUGAUCCUCAUCCUUUUGAAGGUCAGCCAAAGAUACUUCAAAAACUCGAUGUUUCAGCCCCUCAGAAGCAAUCUGUUAACAAAGGCAAGCUCCUAGGUGAAUCAGAAUUGAAUACACAAAAGAAAUUCCAAAUAAGGAGACUUUUCAACUUUAUGCAUUGCUUUAGAGGCACUGUAAGUAACAUACCCUGAUCUUACAUAAAGGCCCAAAGAUAAAUGCAACGAAUAUUCAAUUAGUCUUCUUUUUCCCUUUUGUAGAGUUGUUAUUCUGCUCGAACAUUACUCCAAAUCAUAAAUAUUCUAUGAAACUCUGAAUGCAAUUCAUGAUAUUAAAGUCUUCCAACAAGUAAUGGAUUCUGAGCAUAAUCAUAGUCAUACAAUUGCAAUAUGAUUGCUGGACAACAAAUUGUCAUGCCUAUCAAAUUUCCAUUAUGGGCUCGUAGAAAUAUUCUAUUAUGGACAAGUAUCUCAUGAGCCGACUCUCAAUUUCAGUAACCAAAUAGGUUAUUAAAACAGAAAAUUACAUAUAAGCCUCCACAACAUAACAAGAACUGCAUGUUCAUGUACAUGUAAAAGAUAGAGGAAAAAAAUAGAGUAAAAACCUUGGUUCCCUGGGUUCUGGUGACAAGGGUCUUUCCAAUAUUUCUGACAUUGAAGACAGAAGGUGCCUUAAUAUCGUACCAGUCCUUCUUUGCAAAUGGAUCCGCUGCCUUCUUCUUGCCUCCUUUCUUUCCCUUCGAAAUCCUCUUGUUCUUCCCGACGGCCAUUGUUGGUGGAGGCGAAGAGCUAAGGGCUCGGCUUUAGCUGUAGAAGGAAAGUGAAACAAAGACGGCUCUAAGCGCAAACCCUUGGAGACCCAAAACCCUAAUACAGGGUGUGAUUUAAAUAGUUUUCAGCUGAUUGAAUCUUGG